CCUCAAUAAACUGAGAACGCAGAGAGGUUCAUGUCCUUUAUCCAUCGAUGUCGAUACUCUCUCUCUUUUCCCUGUAUCAGUAGCAAUAGCAGUAGCCUUCCCAAAGCCACCGCCGCCACCACCACCACCACCUCCUUCAAUUCAAAUUCAAAUUCAAAUUCAAUCCCAACUCUCCUCAGAGCUUGCAAGACCUCUCUCCACCUCCACCAACUUCACGCCCACAUCAUCCGUAAAGGCCUCGAGCAAGACCACUUUCUCUUCACCCUUUUCAUUUCCCUCUCCACUCUUUCCUAUUCCACUUCCGUCUUCAACUGCGUUCGCAGACCCAUUACGUUCCUCUGGAACUCUCUCAUUAGAGUUUAUUCUCUAAAAAACUCUCAUUUCAUCCACAUUGUUUCACUCUUCAUUCGCAUGAAGAGAGAGGGUGAUGUACCUGACUGCUACACCUACCCAUCAGUCAUUAAAGCGUGUUCCACCCAGUGUGAGGUUAGCCUAGGGAGUGCCCUUUUUGGGUCAGCAUUGAGGUGCGGGGUUGAACGGGAUCUCUUUGUCAGGACUAGUUUGAUUGACUUCUAUGGGAAAUGUAAACAUAUUUUCAGUGCUCGUGAGCUGUUCGAUGAUAUGUCUGGCAGAAAUGUCGUUUCAUGGACGGCUAUGGUUGUUAGGUAUAGAACUGUUGGGGAUUUAGAAGAGCAAAGAGGUUGUUCAAUGAAAUGCCGCAGAAGAAUGUGGCGUCCUGGAAUGCUAUCAUUUGUGGCCUUGUGAAACUGGGUGACUUGAAGGGUGCGAGGAUGAUGUUUGAUGAAAUGCCCGAGAGGAAUGUGGUUUUGUAUACUACCAUGAUUGAUGGGUAUGCAAAGGCAGGUGAUAUGGCGUCUGUGAGGUUUCUGUUUGAGCAGGUGCCUCAAAGGGAUAUUUCUGCGUGGUCCGCAUUGAUAUCGGGUUAUGCUCAAAGUGGUCAGCCUAAUGAAGCGGUGAAAGCUUUCCUUGAAAUGGAUUCAAGGGAUGUAAAGCCCGAUGAGUUUGUUAUGGUGAGCUUGAUGUCUGCUUGAUCUCAAAUUGGUAAUUUGGAAUUGGCUAAAUGGGUUGAUUCUUAUGUGAGCCGGAGCACAAUGGAUACUCAACAACCUCAUGUAGCUGCGGCUCUUGUUGACAUGAAUGCCAAGUGUGGAAACAUGGAGCAAGCAACGAAGUUGUUUGAAGAGAUGCCCAAAAAGGACCUAAUCUCGUAUUGUUCCAUGAUACAAGGGUUGUCAUAUCAUGGGCAUGGGAACAAAGCUGUUGAACUUUUCAAUAAGAUAAUAAAUGAAGGGCUGGUUAUGAGGUGGCCUUCACCAUCAUCUUGUCAGCAUGUAGUCAUGCCGGAUUCGUUGAAGAGGGUUGGCACUAUUUUGAAAGGAUGAGAUAUGAGUACUCUUUACUUCCUUCUCCUGAUCACUAUGCUUGUAUGGUUGAUCUUCUUAGCGGGGCAGGAAGAUUGAAAGAAGCUUAUGAGCUUCUAAACUCAAUGCCUGUGGAGCCACAUGCUGGUGCUUGGGGUGCACUUCUUGGGGCUUGUAAGUUGCAUUGCAAUAUUGAAUUAGGGGAGGUUAUUGCUGCUCGCCUUCUUGAGCUUGAGCCACAUAAUGCUGGUAAUUAUGUGUCUUUGUCCAACAUCUAUGCAGCAGCAGAUCGGUGGUCAGAUGUUUAUCUUGUGAGGGAAAAGAUGAAUGAAAGAGGAGUUAGGAAAAUAACUGGUCACAGUUGCAUUAAUUCAUGAGAAUUAGUUUCAUCAUAUGACUGAUUCACCAUUCAUCAAUACCAUGAUUUUGAGGCUGCCAUAUUGGUGUGAAGUGUUGAUCCUAUUGGAAGAGCCUUUCCAUCAAUUAAAUAAAGAAAAAAGAAGUGCAAGGGCUGAUUGAUUUCAAAGUCCUGUUAUCCCAACCACAAAGAAUUGCAGCGGCAGGUUUCUGCCAGAAAAAAACUGAAAUCCUCCUCUCCCGUGGUCACUGGGAGAAGCUGCACAUGGAUUGUUUAAUGGUUUUGUAUGUGUUGCUGCUUUAUAACAUGAUCACAAAUGAGCUGGUUGGUUUCAGUUAGACUCCGAUCUGUGCCAUUCCAGAUUUGGUCCAGUAAGUAUCAACUAAACAUUAACUACUAUAAUGAAUGUGUAAAAUUUUUACUAUUUUAUUUUGUGACCAGGAAGGGGUUUUUGAUGUGGCUUUCUGUUAGCACUGCUAACUUGUAGUUGAGCUCAUUAUAGCAAUUGAUCAGUCCAGUGAUUUUGUUGUGGUCCCUACUUGCUCUUUUAACCAAUAAAUAUAUUAUCCAUGAAAUUGUUAGUAUGUGGAACUUGAUUAUUCUACAGGGUAAGUGUUGGCCCACCUUUUCAUGACUUAAGAUUGGAAGACUAAUCGUAACCACUUCUUACAUGAAUCAGUCUUGGACAUUUUUCUUUGUACUCAUUUGUUGAUGAAUUCAAUUUGACAUGGUUCCUUUGGCUUUCAAUUCACUGGUUUACUUUGUGGAUUGACCACUCCCUGCCACUAAAAUGAAACAGUAACAGGUUAAGAGUUUUAGUUGUCUAAUAAGCCAAUAUUGUGGGAAUACCAAACUACUCUAUUAAAAGAAGUACUGUAGCAGAUUCUUGACUUUGAAAUGAGAUUUCUUUCUGCUUUGGGGAGAAAGAAAGAAAAUUUUCAUAGAUAUGUAGACUGUAUGUGACUUCUUGUUUCUGUUUUGACCAUGUGUUGUUUCUUUGUAAUGUACCUAUACCUCAUGUAUAUUCAACCCAAUGAAGCCUUUAAAUUGUAAUCCUUGUAUCUCAAAGUAAUUUAUAAAUUUUAAGCUUUCUACUGAGUUAAGCAAUAUCACAUUUGUCGAUUUCAUAGGUGGAUGAAGGUUCAGCUGCUAUUUGGACCAUGAAUCACAAUAGUAUCUUAAUAAAGUGGGGCCACUAGAGGAGUCAGUCAUAUUAUGCUACCGUCUCUUAAGUACAUAUUUUUUUGACUGAUGAAUCAGAAUGCAAAAGUUUAUCUGCUAGUGAAGCUAUAUCGCAUUUGUCGAUUUCAUAGGGGUAUGAAGGUUCAGCUGCUAUUUAGGACCAUGAAUCACAAUAGUAUCUUAAUAAAGUGGGGCCACUAGAGGAGUCAGUCAUAUUAUGCUACCGUCUCUUAAGUACAUAUUUUUUUGAUUGAUGAAUCAGAAUGCAAAAGUUUAUCUGCUAGUGAGUGUUCAUUUUGACAUCCAUCGCCUUUCAUUUGAACAAAAUCUUUUAGUUCUCCUACUCAUACCUGAGCAUCUACUGUCCAGCCUCAAAAGCAUUUUUUGAAAUCUGGAUCAAAUAGUUCUCUGUCUCCUAG